rnacentral:rRNA from 1 species
UACGUAGGGGGCAAGCGUUGUCCGGAUUUGUUGGGCGUAAAGAGCGUGUAGGCGGCUAGGUAGGUCCGUUGUGAAAACUCGAGGCUCAACCUCGAGACGCCGGUGGAAACCAUCUAGCUAGAGUCCGGAAGAGGAGAGUGGAAUUCCUGGUGUAGCGGUGAAAUGCGCAGAUAUCAGGAAGAACACCCGUGGCGAAGGCGGCGCUCUGGUACGUGACUGACGCUGAGACGCGAAAGCGUGGGGAGCGAACAGG